UACGAAGGGGGCUAGCGUUGCUCGGAAUUACUGGGCGUAAAGCGCACGUAGGCGGAUUGUUAAGUCGGGUGUGAAAUCUCGGAGCUUAACUCCGAAACUGCAUUCGAUACUGCCGUGCUUGAGGACUGGAGAGGAGACUGGAAUUUACGGUGUAGCGGUGAAAUGCGUAGAUAUCGUAAGGAAGACCAGUGGCGAAGGCGGGUCUCUGGACAGUUCCUGACGCUGAGGCACGAAGGCCAGGGGAGCAAACGGG
rnacentral:rRNA from 1 species